rnacentral:rRNA from 1 species
UACGGGGGGGGGCUAGCGUUGUUCGGAAUUACUGGGCGUAAAGGGCGCGUAGGCGGCUUAACAAGUCACUUGUGAAAUCUCCGGGCUUAACUCGGAACGGCCAAGUGAAACUGUCAAGCUAGAGUGCGGAAGGGGCAAUCGGAAUUCUUGGUGUAGCGGUGAAAUGCGUAGAUAUCAAGAGGAACACCUGAGGUGAAGACGGGUUGCUGGGCCGACACUGACGCUGAUGCGCGAAAGCCAGGGGAGCAAACGGG